CCUACGGGUGGCAGCAGUGAGGAAUAUUGGUCAAUGGACGAGAGUCUGAACCAGCCAAGUAGCGUGAAGGAGGACUGCCCUAUGGGUUGUAAACUUCUUUUAUAUGGGAGUAAAAUGUUCCACUGUUGGAAUUUUGUAUUUACCAUAUGAAUAAGAAUCGGUUAACACAGUGCCAGCAGCCGCGGUAAUCCGGAGGGGCGGAGAGUUAUCCGGAUUUAUGGGGUUUAAAGGGACGGGAGGUGGUUUUUUAAUUCAGUUGAGAAAGUUUUCGGCUCAAACGUAAAAUAGCAGUUGAAACUGGCAGUCUUGAGUACAGUAGAGGUAGGCGGAAUGCGUGGUGUAGCGGUGAAAUGCAUAGAUAUCACGCAGAACCCCGAUUGCGAAGGCAGUUCACUGGACUACAACUGACGCUCAGGCACGAAAGUGUGGGUAUCAAACAGGAUUAGAUACCCUUGUAGUC
rnacentral:rRNA from 1 species